rnacentral:rRNA from 1 species
UACGUAGGGGGCAAGCGUUGUCCGGAUUUAUUGGGCGUAAAGAGCGUGUAGGCGGCCUGAAAGGUCAGCUGUGAAAACUCGAGGCUCAACCUCGAGACGUCGGUUGAAACCAUCUGGCUAGAGUCCGGAAGAGGAGAGUGGAAUUCCCGGUGUAGCGGUGAAAUGCGCAGAUAUCGGGAAGAACACCCGUGGCGAAGGCGGCUCUCUGGGACGGUACUGACGCUGAGAAGCGAAAGCAUGGGGAGCGAACAGG